AAGAUAGAAUCCAUGCUUCUUUUUUUUUCUACAACCUGAAUUUAUAGUAAAUUAUAGUAUAUAAAAAGUCCCCAUUUCAUAUAUUGAUUUUGAUUCGUACAUAAUUAAUUCCGAUUCGUCAAUGUCUUAAAAAAGUUCUCAAAAAUGCCUAAUAUUUAAUGAUAAGGUCACAAUUACGAAAAAAGUUAAUUAACCACAACCUUAACCUUUUUGAGAACAACGUCUAAUAGUAUAGAGCAUUUGCACUGACGUCAUAAAUUGCAACAUAAUUGAAGGAGACACCAUUUUGAAGGCUCAAUGUUGAUAUUUUGAUUACAUAAAAUGAACAAAUUUCCAAUAAACCUUAUAUAAAUCUGACUACUUUCCUUAACAUUAAUGAAAAAAUGGUGUUUAAUUGUUAUAAAACUUGGUUAUUUAGUCCCCCAAAUGGACGACAUCAAAAUUGUGACGUCAUAUAAAAAGGCUCUAUGGACCAGAGUUUCUUAUAUAUUUUUCGACAUCAAUUCUUCUUUGGUUCAUAAACUUUUAGAAGAACCCCUAUUUUAUGAGAGGGAAUAUUGUGUCCUACGUUAUUAUUCACUAAGAACUAAUAUCACCAAUACAUACACAGACAAAACUGAACACAUAUCAUGAAGUCAAUUUAUUUCCGCUACGAAUGAAUUCGAAGGCAAAAUGAGUCAACAAGGCAGGAGCAGGUUUAAUUUUAUAGCAAAUAAUAGAUCAAUUCAUGGGGUCUCUAUCAUAUUGAUCAUCGUCACCCUUACAUAAAAUUCAAAGAAUAAACAAUGAAAGAAUUUAACAAAUGUCAAUAUAAGUUCAUUUACACAUCAUCACUUGAGGCUUUCGUCGAGGUAUACUCUCUGGUCCAAAUCUUUUGUUAGCCUCAUCCAAGAACGCAUUUACAUUUCUUUUGACGACUUCGUCAAAGAAUAAGGAUGAAAACUGAGCGUAGAUGGGAGAGCGGAACUUGAAAUGAACUGCAAAGUCUAGAGCACAAGAGCGAGCAACACCCGGAACACCAAGUUGAGAGUCAAAUUUCCAAACAGUUUUAAGAAAUGUAAAGAGUUUUAAAUCGUUGGAGACGGCUGUGACGAGAUUGGGCUCAAACAUCGUUACAUCUGAAGUGUAUGAUUCCUUUAUGUAUGGAUUGAGAAAAACAGAAUUUACUCAGUGAUUGU
rnacentral:lncRNA from 1 species